rnacentral:rRNA from 1 species
CCUACGGGUGACAGCAGUAGGGAAUCUUCCACAAUGGGCGAAAGCCUGAUGGAGCAACGCCGCGUGGGUGAAGAAGGUCUUCGGAUCGUAAAACUCUGUUGUGAGAGAAGAAAGUGCGUGAGAGUAACUGCUCACGUUUCGACGGUAUCUAACCAGAAAGCCACGGCUAACGACGUGCCAGCAGCCGUGGUAAUACGUAGGUGGCAGGCGUUAUCCGGAUUUAUGGGGCGUAAAGGGAACGCAGGCGGUCUUUUAAGUCUGAUGUGAAAGCCUGCGGCUUAACCGGAGUAGUGCAUUGGAAACUGGAAGACUUGAGUGCAGACGGGGAGAGUGGAACUCAAUGUGUAGCGGUGAAAUGCGUAGAUAUAUGGAAGAACACCAGUGGCGAAGGCGACUGUCUGGUCUGUAACUGACGCUGAGGUUCGAAAGCGUGGGUAGCAAACAGGAUUAGAUACCCCUGUAGUC